rnacentral:rRNA from 1 species
UGGGGAAUUGUUCACAAUGGGCGCAAGCCUGAUGACGCAACGCCGCGUGGGGGAUGAAGGUCUUCGGAUCGUAAACCCCUGUCGAGUGGGACGAAUAACUUCCGGAUUAAUACCCCGGAGGAAUGACGGUACCGCUAAAGGAAGCCACGGCUAACUCUGUGCCAGCAGCCGCGGUAAUACAGAGGUGGCAAGCGUUGUUCGGAAUUACUGGGCGUAAAGGGCGCGUAGGCGGCCAUCUAAGUCAGACGUGAAAUCCCCCGGCUUAACCUGGGAACUGCGUCUGAUACUGGACGGCUGGAGUUUGGGAGAGGGAUGUAGAAUUCCAGGUGUAGCGGUGAAAUGCGUAGAUAUCUGGAGGAAUACCGGUGGCGAAGGCGGCAUCCUGGACCAAUACUGACGCUGAGGCGCGAAAGCUAGGGGAGCAAACGG